rnacentral:rRNA from 1 species
AGUGAACGCUGGCGGUAGGCCUAACACAUGCAAGUCGAACGGCAGCACAGUAAGAGCUUGCUCUUACGGGUGGCGAGUGGCGGACGGGUGAGGAAUACAUCGGAAUCUACUUUUUCGUGGGGGAACACGUAGGGAAACUUACGCUAAUACCGCAUACGACCUACGGGUGAAAGCAGGGGAUCUUCGGACCUUGCGCGAUUGAAUGAGCCGAUGUCGGAUUAGCUAGUUGGCGGGGUAAAGGCCCACCAAGGCGACGAUCCGUAGCUGGUCUGAGAGGAUGAUCAGCCACACUGGAACUGAGACACGGUCCAGACUCCUACGGGAGGCAGCAGUGGGGAAUAUUGGACAAUGGGCGCAAGCCUGAUCCAGCCAUACCGCGUGGGUGAAGAAGGCCUUCGGGUUGUAAAGCCCUUUUGUUGGGAAAGAAAAGCAGCAGGUUAAUACCCCGCUGUUCUGACGUUACCCAAAGAAUAAGCACCGGCUAACUUCGUG